AAACCCUCUGCAGCCGCUGUGCUGCUGCUACUCCGAGCCAGGCGUUGGUUUCGCUCCCACAAGAUGGCGGCGCUGACAGCCACGUCAGUGCCUCCUGC